rnacentral:rRNA from 1 species
UGGGGAAUUGUUCGCAAUGGGCGCAAGCCUGACGACGCAACGCCGCGUGGAGGAUGAAGACCUUCGGGUCGUAAACUCCUUUCGAUCGAGACGAAUGGCCCUUGGGUUAACAGCCCAGGGGUAUGACGGUACCGAGAGAAGAAGCACCGGCUAACUCCGUGCCAGCAGCCGCGGUAAUACGGGGGGGGCAAGCGUUGUUCGGAAUUACUGGGCGUAAAGGGCUCGUAGGUGGCCAACUAAGUCAGACGUGAAAUCCCUCGGCUUAACCGGGGAACUGCGUCUGAUACUGGAUUGCUUGAGUUCGGGAGAGGGAUGCGGAAUUCCAGGUGUAGCGGUGAAAUGCGUAGAUAUCUGGAGGAACACCGGUGGCGAAGGCGGCAUCCUGGACCGACACUGACACUGAGGAGCGAAAGCCAGGGGAGCAAACGGG